AUAGAGAUUUUUUUUUAAACUUAUCUUCUAAAAAAAUACACUUACAAAAGAAACUUAAAUCCCUUUAUAUAGGGAAGCAAAUACUUACUAUUUAAGGCGGUAACAUCCACCUACAAUAGUAGGUGAACUACUAAAUAUUAAUAAAAAACAAAAAAACUUUUACAAAAGAAAAUUAAGUGCAUACAGUUAUGCUUAAAGACAAGAGAUUCUUAUUCCCUUAAGAUAAGAAGAUAAGAUUCUUUCUUAUCUUUUGCUUUUGGCAACUUUUGCUUUUGACAAGAUUCUUAUUCCAUUAACCUUGUCUUUUGCUUUUGACAAGAUUCUUAUUCCAUUAACCUUAUCUUUUGCUUUUGUUUAUUGAUUCUUUUUCAUUAUGGCAAACAAGAUAUGAUUCUUUCUUAUCUUCAGCCUUUGAUUAUUGAUUCUUAUUUUUUGCUUUCUCUUUUGCUUUAUGAGCCAUGGAUUAAAUCAUUGCGUCCCAUAAAUCCUCUGCAGUUGGGCCCUCCGCUUGGGCUUCUCCUGCCAAACAAUCAAAGUUGUGGGAAUCAAUUGAUCCUAGGAAGAGCUGGUAUUCAUAGAUGAAUCCUCAUCUUUUAAUGCUUUUGCUGAAAAAGUGUAGAAAAAUUGGUUUUUCAUAUGGUCCAAAGUUCUAACCAUGAUUUCAUCUUCUGAUUCAUUUGGAUAUUUUCUCUGGAAGAAGUUCUUCAGAUUUCCCAUAGACAUUUGUUGGGAGUUUUGCUCUUUGACCUUAUUACUUUUGUCUUUAGCUAUAGCUGUUUGAAUUAAAUUUCCUAUUUUCUGGACUUCUUCGGAACUCAUUUUGUUCCACCAUUUAUAGAAGAAAUUUCUUUCUAAAA
rnacentral:lncRNA from 1 species